UGAGAAGAGACUGUUGAGUUCCUAGCCUCGUAAGAUCGCUCUGUCAUCCCCUUUCAAGGCUGAAGGACUAUCACGGAAAAGAGGGUGGAAAGAACAUAAGAGCUAGAGGAAGAAGCUGUAUUCUGAGUAUGCUGUGUCCACAUCAUCGAGUGGGGAGUGACUGGAAUGAAGCUCUCCAUGACAGGGAAGGAAGCCAUACUAUAAAGGCUCCCACAGCACAGAAGGAAAGAAUGGAAAGUUCUGGGGCCAUCAGGAUCUCCCUUCUCUUCCAGAUCAGUUACCAGUUACCCUCAGGCAACAUACUUGUGCUAAAGGAAAGCCAUGAAGAAAAGCAGCCUUCCUUAGAGAAGAAUCAGUGUUCUCUGAUGUGAUUGGGAACUGCUCCUUAAUGGACGUGCCUACCCCACUGCAUAUGCUGUGACUCACCUCUCCCUGAGGAUUGUUCCCUACUGGGCAUGUUCCCAUCCAGCCCUCCAGGCUGGCUUUGCAUUGGUUUUCCCCACAGGUGUUCUCUUGCACUGUUAACUGCUGGCUGUUCCCCUAUAUCCAUAUCAUGAGAGAUUACACAUUUUACAGGGACUAUAUCUUUCACUCUACCAGUAGUACAACAUGCAGUAAGGAUUUGUUGUGGAGUGUGAAUGCAUUAUCUUCCUAAGCAAGAUCUUAUGUGCACUCCCUCUUCCUAAGCAAGGAUCUUAUGUGCACUCCCUCUUUUGCUGUGACUUCAUCACAAGAGUGGCUGGCAUUGCACGUACCUCAUUCCCACACGUGUGUUCACAAUUACUAUUAUUCCCCUUGGGUCUCCCCCAGAAAGUCUCUGACAGACACUGUGUUGAUUACAGGUUCUUAUAACUAA